rnacentral:rRNA from 1 species
CCUACGGGUGGCAGCAGUGAGGAAUAUUGGUCAAUGGGCGAGCGCCUGAACCAGCCAAGUCGCGUGAAGGAUGACGGCCCUACGGGUUGUAAACUUCUUUUGUCAGGGAGCAAUUGGGUCCACGCGUUGGCUUAGCGAGAGUACCUGAAGAAAAAGCAUCGGCAAACUCCGUGCCAGCAGCAGCGGUAAUACGGAGGAUGCGAGCGUAAUCCGGAUUUAUUGGGUUUAAAGGGUGCGUAGGCGGAAUAUCAAGUCAGCGGUAAAAAUUCGGGGCUAAACCCCGUCGUGCUGGUGAAACUGAUGUUCUUGAGUGGGCGAGAAGUAGGCGGAAUGUGUGGUGUAGCGGUGAAAUGCAUAGAGAUCACGCAGAACUCCGAUUGCGAAGGCAGCAUACCGGCGCACAACUGACGCUGAAGCACGAAAGCGUGGGUAGCGAACAGGAUUAGAUACCCGAGUAGUC